GUAGGGAAUAUUGGGCAAUGGUCGGAAGACUGACCCAGCCAUGCCGCGUGCAGGAAGACGGCCCUCUGGGUUGUAAACUGCUUUUAUCUGGCAAGAAAAAGGCCAUGCGUGGCAAAUUGCCGGUACCAGAUGAAUAAGCACCGGCUAACUCCGUGCCAGCAGCCGCGGUAAUACGGAGGGUGCGAGCGUUGUCCGGAUUUAUUGGGUUUAAAGGGUGCGUAGGCGGCUGAUUAAGUCAGAGGUGAAAGACUUCGGCUUAACCGGAGCAGUGCCGUUGAUACUGGUUGGCUUGAGUGUCGGAGGGGUACAUGGAAUUGAUGGUGUAGCGGUGAAAUGCAUAGAUACCAUCAGGAACACCGAUAGCGAAGGCAUUGUACUGGCCGACAACUGACGCUGAUGCACGAAAGUGUGGGGAUCGAACAGGAUUAGAAACCCUUGUAGUCC
rnacentral:rRNA from 1 species